UACGGAGAGUGCAAGCGUUGCUCGGAAUUAUUGGGCGUAAAGGGCAAGUAGGUGGUCUCAUUUGUCUGGGGUGAAAGCCUUGAGCUUAACUCAAGAAGUGCCCCAGAAACGGUGAGACUAGAGUCCUGGAGAGGGUCGUGGAAUUCCCGGUGUAGCGGUGAAAUGCGUAGAGAUCGGAAGGAACACCAGUGGCGAAGGCGGCUACCUGGACAAAUACUGACGCUGAGGCGCGAGAGCGUGGGGAGCAAACAGG
rnacentral:rRNA from 1 species